AUGAGUUCUCACCACUUUGUAAUCAUGGUGUUUUGCUUCUGCUCCUUAUUGUUUUCCAUCCAUGCCCCUUUUGCUACCUCACUCUCCUUCAACUUCAACUUCUCCGAUCCCGGCUCCUACUGCGCCCCGGAUGCGGAUAUUGCCUGCGCUGGCGAUGCCUUCUUCCACGCCCCUUUCAUGGAGCUGUCCAAGAACGAUAUCAGUGAAGGCAACAACCACAGCAUCGGUCGCGUAUGGUACACGCAGCCGGUGCCGCUCUGGGACAAGGCCACCGGCGAGGUGGCCAGCUUUAACACUUCUUUCUCCUUCCAAAUUAGGCCGGUCAACGCGGAUUACAGCGCCGAUGGGAUGGCCUUCUUCCUUGGGCACUACCCGUCGGGCAUCCCUCUGGGGAGCUAUGGUGGGAAUCUCGGACUUUUCAAUGGUAGCAACAACAAGAAUGCAACCGGUAGUGACCGUAUUGUGGCGGUCGAGUUUGACACCUUCAGGAACAUGCAAUUGGACGACAAUGACAACCAUGUCGGUAUCGAUGUCAAUUCCAUUGUUUCGGUUGUGUCAACCUCACCUGAUAAGAAACUUACACUAGGUACCACAAUGACCGCGGAGAUCAGCUACGAGAAUAGCACAGAGAAAUUGUCAGUUAUUCUCUGGAUCAGUGAAACCUCAUACCGAAUCAACACAAGUAUUGACAUGAAAAUAUGUUUGCCAGAGGAGGUGGCAAUUGGCUUCUCAGCGGCUACUGGUAGCUCCAUCGAGGUACACCGGGUUCUAUCAUGGUCAUUCAACUCAACCCUAGCAGGUAAGAGUUUGUCGACAUUGCUACCAGGAGUAGUGCCUGUGCCUCCUGAAACUGUGAGCUCCAAAUCACAAAGAAAAGUACAGGCUACAAUAGCAUUUUCAGCUGCAAUAUUUUCUGUGUUGGUGUGUUCUUUCAUGGGUUUUCUUCUACGGAAGCAACGAGUAUGGAAGAAAGCAAAUCAAACCUCCGAUGGUGAAUUUGAAGAUGAAAAUGAUAAGGCUGAAUUUGAGAAAGGGGUUGGCCCUAGGAGGUACCAUUAUAGUGAGCUUGCUGCUGCGACAGGCAACUUUGCAGAAGAAAAGAAGCUAGGGAGAGGUGGAUUCGGCCAUGUUUACCAGGGCUGCCUGCGGAUUGAUGACAAGGAUCGCCAUGUUGCGAUAAAGAAGCUCUCGUCUGAAUCAUCUGUUCAAGGGAGGAAGGAGUUUGAGGCUGAGAUCAAGAUCAUAAGUCGGCUCAGGCAUCGGAACCUUGUCCAGUUAAUUGGGUGGUGUGACAGUUGCAAGGGGCUCUUGAUUGUCUAUGAGCUGGUAUCCGAAGGAAGUCUUGACAAGCAUAUAUAUAAUAGAGGCGGGCUGCUAAAAUGGCCUGAAAGGUACAAUAUCAUCGUUGGCCUCGGCUCUGCUCUGCGCUAUCUCCAUUCAGAGUGGGAGCAGAGCAUCGUGCACGGCGACAUCAAGCCAAGCAACAUCAUGCUCGACACAUCAUACAACACCAAGCUGGGGGACUUUGGCUUGGCAAGGCUUGUGGACCAUGGAGCCAAGUCCGAGACAACCAAAGUCGUGAUGGGAACCGCCGGAUACAUCGAUCCUGAGCUUGUCAACACGCGCAGGCCGAGCACCGAGUCGGAUGUCUACAGCUUCGGCAUCGUCCUCCUGGAGGUGGUGUCUGGCCGACACCCUGUGGCGGAGUCAGAGGACAAGUUCUUUGUGCUGCUGAGAUGGGUCUGGGACCUGCACAUCAAAAACACUAUACUUGAAGUGGUGGACAAGAGACUGAGGGGUGGUGAUGAGAUGGACGAGCGGCAGAUGGAGCGCGUGCUGGUCGUCGGGCUCUGGUGCGCGCACCCCGACCGGAGCGAGCGGCCGUCUAUGGCACAGGCGAUGCAUGUCCUGCAGUCCGAGGAUGCCAAGCUGCCGGAGCUUCGGCCGCAGAUGUACAGGGCUGAGCCUGUUCUUGCCAUGUGGGAACAUGGUUACACCGAUCUGUCGGUGUGGACGUCCUCCAGUGGCUGCACUGCAGUUGGUUCUGAUGCAGAACCGAGUAACUGA
rnacentral:rRNA from 1 species